rnacentral:sRNA from 1 species
UUAGCCUUUUUCUAAAUCACUUCACAUUAUACGUUUUUUUGUUGUUCGAGGAUCCAGCAUCUCGUUGUCAAAAAAGUCGUGCGGUAUUUUCGCUAGUUGGCGCUGAAAGGGCGUAGUUCUUGUUUUAUUCGUCAUCCUAUACCUUUUUGGAAAGCUCAUUUCACGCGCUAACACGUGUUUGAUUGAUUGUCUUUUCUUUUAAGUCGUGCAACUACUACGAUAAACGAUACUACGAAAGUAAGGCGCAAACGGUCGUGAUCGAAAAGCGGUGAAGCGGACGGUGGCCAAGCCUGGACGGCCAG